UGCUGACGAGUUGGCGGACGGGUGAGGAAUUGCUUGGUAUCUGCCUGUUAGUGGGGGACAACCCGGGGAAACUCGGGCUAAUACCGAUACGCUCUACGGAGGAAAGCGGGGGACCGUAAGGCCUCGCGCUAACAGAUGAGCCCAAGUCGGAUUAGCUAGUUGGUGGGGUAAAGGCCUACCAAGGCGACGAUCCGUAGCUGGUCUGAGAGGACGAUCAGCACACUGGGACUGAGACACGGCCAGACUCCUACGGGAGGCAGCAGUGGGGAAUACUGGACAAUGGGGGAAACCCUGAUCCAGCAAUGCCGCGUGUGUGAAGAAGGCCUGCGGAUUGUAAAGCACUUUUGGCAGGGGAUGAAAAGCACUGGCCUAACAAUCCAGUGUGUUGACCUAACCUGCAGAAGAAGCACCGGUAAUCUGUGCCAGUCGAAGCCGCGGUAAUACAGGGGUGCAAGCGUUAAUCGGAAUUACUGGGCGUAAAGCGCGCGUAGGCCGUGGGGUAAUCGGAUGUGAAAUCCCCGGGCUUAACCUGGGAAUUUGCUUCGAUACUGGCUGACUAAGUGUGGAACAGGGAACGCGGAAUUUCCCGGUGUAACCGGU
rnacentral:rRNA from 1 species